rnacentral:rRNA from 1 species
CCUACGGGGGGCAGCAGUGGGGAAUCUUCCGCAAUGGGCGCAAGCCUGACGGAGCAAUGCCGCGUGAGUGAAGAAGGCCUUCGGGUUGUAAAACUCUGUCCUAAGGGAAGAAUGUUACCUAUGAGAAUAUUGUAGGUAAAUGACGGUACCUUAGGAGGAAGCCCCGGCUAACUACGUGCCAGCAGCCGCGGUAAUACGUAGGGGGCUAGCGUUAUCCGGAAUUACUGGGCGUAAAGGGUGCGUAGGCGGCCCUUCAAGUCAGAGGUGAAAGGCUACGGCUCAACCGUAGUAAGCCUUUGAAACUGUAGGGCUUGAGUGCAGGAGAGGAGAGUGGAAUUCCCAGUGUAGCGGUGAAAUGCGUAGAUAUUGGGAGGAACACCAGUUGCGAAGGCGGCUCUCUGGACUGUAACUGACGCUGAGGCACGAAAGCGUGGGGAGCGAACAGGAUUAGAUACCCCAGUAGUC